CAUAAAAUCUGUAGAUUUACCCUAACUUCAUAGAAGAAAUCUACCAAAAGACCCCCGUAAUCAAAAACAGGAAGUAAAGCAGACCACAUGUGACAUCCUGUAAAUUUAGAACGCACCCAGGCUUCACUGGCGUGGAUCAUCUCUUAGAUACCCAACAUGGUAUUUUACACCUAUAAAUUCCUUUUCUAUGUGCUGAUCCUAUCUGUAUCUGUUGGCACUCACAAUGACAAGAACUCCACCCUUUCGGACAACGUCCCCAUUUUUAUAAACAACCUUCGUGUAUUUUUGAUUUUUGUCAUUAUAGUCACCACUAUGUGUGUUGUAUCACAUCUUGUGGCUAAAGGAAAAUGCCAGAAAAAAAAAGCGGUUUCUCCUCCACUUAAUGCACAUAUCUAUGAAAAUGACUUUUAGGCUCCAUUUGACAGCAAUAUAUGACAGCUUUUUGUGUCUUGUUUUUAUGAGUGUUUUAGCGGCUUUGUUGCAUAUUAGCAGUAACACAUAAGUGGAAUUAAGCAAUAGAAAUUGUAUUUGGCAUCACGCUGCCACCUGCUUGGUUUCCUGCUCUUUAAAUACUGUAACCCAAACUGAUGUAGAAGUGAAACUGAAUGACUAUAACCCUGCCUUUGUCUAAUUUACAUAGAAUAGUAAGACAGAGAACAGGUGUUAGCCGUUUCCUGUGCAGUUAAAACUUUUAUAGAUAUCCUGUACAAAGGUAGAAAUGGUAAAUCAAGUCUAGUUCUGUUUUUAGUUUUUACUCAAGAUGUAAUUAUAUAAACUGUUCUAUGAAGUCUUUGUAAAGGAAACAGUUAAUUACCAUCUUUGCCAGAUGGUGUUGGCCAUACUGUGACUCAUGACCUGUAUCUAUGUUGAAUUACACCCAUAAAGGCCUCCUGAUAGCAUUCCCUAGAGAUGUGUUGUCUUCCCACUCUUCUUUUUUCUGUAGCCAAUGUCUGCAUGCAUUUGUGAAACCCCUGAAGUUUCAAGACGAUGCUACUGCCUAGUGUCUGAUUCGGUACACUGACGAUCCUGCAUAGGGACAGGAUUUGAAUCAGAACCACCUCAAACUUUGUCGUUCACACAUCCUCACCCCUUCAUCCUCUACAACACAUUGUUGGCUGAAGAUCGCUUUUGGUGCUUAAGAUCCACCCCAGUCUUUACACAAUGAAGGCCCAGCAGAGACUAUACAUCCUGUGGAUACUAAAGAAGUAAAACCACCAACAUCAUCUUCUACCCAGGAAUAUUUUUGUCCAUCCUGUUUUCACCCUUUACUGCAUGGUUUGGUAUUUUCACAAAACAAGGCAGGUGUAGAGUACAACAAUCAGGUCUAAUGGAAGGAUCAUCCAGUCUGACCCCUCUAAAUCCAGGACUUGUACAGAUAAAGGGUCAGGAAAAGGACUGCCAGCUGUUUCCAAAGUCAAACUCCUUGAUUGUGAAUGUGGUUAUAGCCUAAUUCAGCUGAUUCUGAAAACAAG